rnacentral:lncRNA from 11 species
GGAGCACCCCUUACCCAAAAGUUCUCAUUUUGUCCACACAAAGGACUGAAAUAGUAGGUGCAUGCACACUGUAGAGCAGGCAUGGGCAAACUUGGGCCCUCCAGACAAUAUGCUUCAAGAUUAUAUCAUGGAUUGGAAAAAUAAAUAUACCAAUGGACACCUAAGGAGGAAAUGAGAAGGAAAAUGGGAAGAACUGAUAGCCAAGGUAAAAGGCAACAGAAAAUAUAAGGAAUUGAACCAGACCAUAUUUACAAUACAACAAACAGAAUAAAUGAUAAAGGAAAUAUACGACUGUUCCCGAAAGGAGGGGGGUGAACGGGAUGGGGGAA